rnacentral:rRNA from 1 species
UACGUAGGGCGCGAGCGUUGUCCGGAAUUAUUGGGCGUAAAGAGCUCGUAGGCGGCCUGUUGCGUCCGCUGUGAAAGCCCGGGGCUCAACUCCGGAUCUGCAGUGGGUACGGGCAGACUAGAGUGUGGUAGGGGAGACUGGAAGUUCCUGGUGUAGCGGUGGAAUGCGCAGAUAUCAGGAGGGAACACCGAUGGCGAAGGCAGGUCUCUGGGCCGAUACUGACGCUGGAGGAGCGAAAGCGUGGGGAGCGAACAGG